rnacentral:rRNA from 1 species
CACGUGGGUAACCUACCUAUAAGACUGGGAUAACUUUCGGGAAACCGGAGCUAAUACCGGAUAACAUUUGGAACCGCAUGGUUCUAAAGUGAAAGAUGGUNNNGCUAUCACUUANNNNNGGACCCGCGCCGUAUUAGCUAGUUGGUAAGGUAACGGCUNNNNAAGGCAACGAUACGUAGCCGACCUGAGAGGNNNNUCGGCCACACUGGAACUGAGACACGGUCCAGACUCCUACGGGAGGCAGCAGUAGGGAAUCUUCCGCAAUGGGCGAAAGCCUGACGGAGCAACGCCGCGUGAGUGAUGAAGGGUUUCGGCUCGUAAAACUCUGUUAUUAGGGAAGAACAAAUGUGUAAGUAACUGUGCACAUCUUGACGGUACCUAAUCAGAAAGCCACGGCUAAUUACGUGCCAGCAGCCGNCGGUAAUACGUAGGUGGCAAGCGUUAUCCGGAAUUAUUGGGCGUAAAGCGCGCGUAGGCGGUUUCUUAAGUCUGAUGUGAAAGCCCACGGCUCAACCGUGGAGGGUCAUUGGAAACUGGGAAACUUGAGUGCAGAAGAGGAAAGUGGAAUUCCAUGUGUAGCGGUGAAAUGCGCAGAGAUAUGGAGGAACACCAGUGGCGAAGGCGACUUUCUGGUCUGUAACUGACGCUGAUGUGCGAAAGCGUGGGGAUCAAACAGGAUUAGAUACCCUGGUAGUCCACGCCGUAAACGAUGAGUGCUAAGUGUUAGNGGGGUUUCCGCCCCUUAGUGCUGCAGCUAACGCAUUAAGCACUCCGCCUGGGGAGUACGACCGCAAGGUUGAAACUCAAAGGAAUUGACGGGGACCCGCACAAGCGGUGGAGCAUGUGGUUUAAUUCGAAGCAACGCNGAAGAACCUUACCAAAUCUUGACAUCCUUUGAAAACUCUAGAGAUAGAGCCUUCCCCUUCGGGGGACAAAGUGACAGGUGGUGCAUGGUUGUCGUCAGCUCGUGUCGUGAAGAUUUUGGGUUAAUUCCCGCAACGAGGGCAACCCUUAAGCUUAGUUGCCAUCAUUAAGUUGGGCACUCUAGGUUGACUGCCGGUGACAAACCGGAGGAAGGUGGGGAUGACGUCAAAUCAUCAUGCCCCUUAUGAUUUGGGCUACACACGUGCUACAAUGGACAAUACAAAGGGCAGCUAAACCGCGAGNNNNUGCAAAUCCCAUAAAGUUGUUCUCAGUUCGGAUUGUAGUCUGCAACUCGACUACAUGAAGCUGGAAUCGCUAGUAAUCGUAGAUCAGCAUGCUACGNNNAAUANNNNNNCGGNNNNUGUACACACCGCCCGUCACACCACGAGAAGUUUGUAACACCCGAAGCCGG